rnacentral:rRNA from 1 species
UACGUACCGUACGAACGUUAUUCGGAAUUACUGGGCUUAAAGAGUCCGUAGGCGGCUUUAAAGGUGAGGUGUGAAAUCCCACGGCUUAACCGUGGAAUUGCGCUUCAAACCAUAAGGCUUGAGGGAGAUAGAGGAAAGCGGAACUGAUGGUGGAGCGGUGAAAUGCGUUGAUAUCAUCAGGAACACCGGUGGCGAAAGCGGCUUUCUGGGUCUCUUCUGACGCUGAGGGACGAAAGCUAGGGGAGCGAAC